ACUCGAUCGAUCGAAUCCAUCC
rnacentral:miRNA from 1 species